AGAGUUUGAUCAUGGCUCAGAAUGAACGUUGGCGGCGUGGAUUAGGCAUGCAAGUCGUGCGAGAACUUGUAUUCUGAAGCUUCGGCUGAUGAAUGCAAGGGAAAGCGGCGUAAGGGAGAGUAACGCGUGGAUACCUACCCUCGGGACCGGGAUAGCGGCGGGAAACUGCCGGUAAUACCGGAUAAAGUCCCCGGACCAAAUGGUGUGAUUCCGCCUGAGGAUGGGUUCGCGUCCUAUUAGCCUGUUGGUGGGGUAAUGGCCUACCAAGGCAAAGAUGGGUACCGGGUGUGAGAGCAUGGCCCGGCUCACUGGGACUGAGACACUGCCCAGACACCUACGGGUGGCUGCAGUCGAGAAUCUUCGGCAAUGGGCGCAAGCCUGACCGAGCGACGCCGCGUGCGGGACGAAGGCCUUCGGGUUGUAAACCGCUGUCAGAGAGGUGGAAAUGUAUUGGGGUCAUCCCCAUUAUUUGACCUAAUCUCAGAGGAAGGACGGGCUAAGUUCGUGCCAGCAGCCGCGGUAAGACGAACCGUCCAAACGUUAUUCGGAGUCACUGGGCUUAAAGAGUGCGUAGGCGGCCUAGAAAGUUGGGUGUGAAAUCCCACGGCUCAACCGUGGAACUGCGCUCAAAACUUCUAGGCUUGAGGGAGAUAGGGGUGAGCGGAACUAAUGGUGGAGCGGUGA
rnacentral:rRNA from 1 species